rnacentral:rRNA from 1 species
GAUGAACGCUGGCGGCGUGCUUAACACAUGCAAGUCGAACGGAAAGGCCCAAGCUUGCUUGGGUACUCGAGUGGCGAACGGGUGAGUAACACGUGGGUGAUCUGCCCUGCACUUCGGGAUAAGCCUGGGAAACUGGGUCUAAUACCGGAUAGGACCACUUCUUGGAUGUUGUGGUGGAAAGUUUUUUCGGUGUGGGAUGAGCUCGCGGCCUAUCAGCUUGUUGGUGGGGUAAUGGCCUACCAAGGCGUCGACGGGUAGCCGGCCGGGGAGGGGGUACGGCCACAUUGGGACUGAGAGACGGCCCAGACUCCUACGGGAGGCAGCAGUGGGGAAUAUUGCACAAUGGGCGCAAGCCUGAUGCAGCGACGCCGCGUGGGGGAUGACGGCCUUCGGGUUGUAAACUCCUUUCGCUAGGGACGAAGCGUUUUGUGACGGUACCUGGAGAAGAAGCACCGGCUAACUACGUG